AUGGUACUACCUCCGUUCCAUAAUUCUUGUCGAAAUCUUACAUGUAUCUAGACACCUUUUAGGAAUAGAUAAAUCCAUUUUUUGGCAAAUUUGAGACAAGAAUUAUGGAACGGAGGGAGUAUUAA
rfam:Brachypodium distachyon strain Bd21 chromosome 5, whole genome shotgun sequence.